rnacentral:rRNA from 1 species
CUGGCUCAGGACGAACGCUGGCGGCGUGCCUAAUACAUGCAAGUCGAGCGAACCACUUCGGUGGUUAGCGGCGGACGGGUGAGUAACACGUGGGCAACCUGCCUGUAAGACUGGGAUAACUUCGGGAAACCGGAGCUAAUACCGGAUAAUCCUUUUCCUCWCAUGAGGAAAAGCUGAAAGWCGGUUUCGGCUGUCACUUACAGAUGGGCCCGCGGCGCAUUAGCUAGUUGGUGAGGUAACGGCUCACCAAGGCGACGAUGCGUAGCCGACCUGAGAGGGUGAUCGGCCACACUGGGACUGAGACACGGCCCAGACUCCUACGGGAGGCAGCAGUAGGGAAUCUUCCACAAUGGACGAAAGUCUGAUGGAGCAACGCCGCGUGAGCGAUGAAGGCCUUCGGGUCGUAA